AUUGAACGCUAGCGGGAUGCCUUACACAUGCAAGUCGAACGGAGUGGCUAACGGGUGAGUAAUGUAUCGGAACGUGCCCAGUCGCGGUGGAUAACUACGCGCAAGCGUAGCUAAUCCCGCAUCCUAUUGGUGCGGCCGAUAUCGUCUUAGCUAGUUGGUGGGGUAACGGCUCACCAAGGUGACGAUCCGUAGCUGGUUUGAGGGGACGACCAGCCAGACUGGGACUGAGACACGGCCCAGACGCCUACGGGAGGCAGCAGUGGGGAAUUUUGGAAAAUGGGGGAAACCCUGAUCCAGCCAUGCCGCGUGUGCGAUGAAGGCCUUCGGGUUGUAAAGCACUUUUAGCAGGAAGGCGGUACCUGCAGAAUAAGCACCGGCUAACUACGUGCCAGCAGCCGCGGUAAUAC
rnacentral:rRNA from 1 species